UUUGGAAUUUAUUUAUCUGGCGGUAGAGAAGAUUAGAGGAGCUUGUCUAUUAAGUUGAAUUUACCCAUUUUAUCUUACCUAUCUUAUAUUGUUUAUUUCCAUGAAAAAUACUCUUUUUUCUUCUAUAAUAGAGAUUUUUAGGUCAAAAUGCAUAGUUGAUAGGAUAGGAUGAGCUACAUUGUAUUGGAACUUGAGAGUAAUAGAUAGGGAAAUUGGAUUUAAUUGUAAUUUUGUUUAUAGUGACAAAGUGAAAUAAAAUUCU
rnacentral:rRNA from 1 species